AUUGAACGCUGGCGGCAUGCUUUACACAUGCAAGUCGAACGGUAACAGGCCGCAAGGUGCUGACGAGUGGCGAACGGGUGCGUAAUGCAUCGGAACGUGCACAGUCGUGGGGGAUAACUACUCGAAAGAGUAGCUAAUACCGCAUACGAUCUAUGGAUGAAAGCGGGGGACCGUAAGGCCUCGCGCGAUUGGAGCGGCCGAUGUCAGAUUAGGUAGUUGGUGGGGUAAAGGCUCACCAAGCCAACGAUCUGUAGCUGGUCUGAGAGGACGACCAGCCACACUGGGACUGAGACACGGCCCAGACUCCUACGGGAGGCAGCAGUGGGGAAUUUUGGACAAUGGGCGCAAGCCUGAUCCAGCAAUGCCGCGUGCAGGAAGAAGGCCUUCGGGUUGUAAACUGCUUUUGUACGGAACGAAACGGCUCUGGUUAAUACCCGGGGCUAAUGACGGUACCGUAAGAAUAAGCACCGGCUAACUACGUG
rnacentral:rRNA from 1 species